rnacentral:rRNA from 1 species
ACUCCUACGGGAGGCAGCAGUGAGGAAUAUUGGUCAAUGGACGCAAGUCUGAACCAGCCAUGUCGCGUGCAGGAAGACUGCCCCUAUGGGUUGUAAAACUGCUUUUAUACGGGAAGAAAUAUAGCUACGUGUAGUUAUUUGCCGGUACCGUAUGAAUAAGCAUCGGCUAACUCCGUGCCAGCAGCCGCGGUAAUACGGAGGAUGCGAGCGUUAUCCGGAUUCAUUGGGUUUAAAGGGUGCGUAGGCGGAAGUAUAAGUCAGGGGUGAAAGUUUGUGGCUCAACCAUAAAAUUGCCUUUGAUACUGUAUUUCUUGAGUACAUUUGAGGUAGGCGGAAUGUGUUGUGUAGCGGUGAAAUGCUUAGAUAUAACACAGAACACCGAUUGCGAAGGCAGCUUACUAAACUGUAACUGACGCUGAUGCACGAAAGCGUGGGGAUCGAACAGGAUUAGAUACCCUGGUAGCAGAGAG